ACAGAGGGUGCAAACGUUGUUCGGAAUUACUGGGCGUAAAGCGAGUGUAGGCGGUCUCGUCAGUCGGGUGUGAAAGCCCCGGGCUCAACCCGGGAAGUGCACUCGAUACUGCGAGGCUAGAGUACUGGAGAGGUUGGUGGAAUUCUCGGUGUAGAGGUGAAAUUCGUAGAUAUCGAGAGGAACACCGGUGGCGAAGGCGGCCAACUGGACGGCUACUGACGCUGAGACGCGACAGCGUGGGGAGCAAACAGGA
rnacentral:rRNA from 1 species